GUGAAAGUUUAUGAGAAGGAGGAAACUACCCAUAAAGCCAUGGGCUGGAGGCCAUCCUGGUGCAUAUCUCGCUGGCUGUGAGGCGAUUCCGGCUUUCAUCCACUCCUCUGGCUGGAUCUGUCACUCCAGCUUUGUGGAGAGCAUAGAUCUGAAAGGGUCUCAAUGGACAAAACCAUCCUACUGGAG